rnacentral:rRNA from 1 species
UACGUAGGGGGCAAGCGUUGUCCGGAAUCAUUGGGCGUAAAGAGCGUGUAGGCGGCCCGGUAAGUCCGCUGUGAAAGUCCAGGGCUCAACCCUGGGAUGCCGGUGGAUACUGUCGGGCUCGAGUCCGGAAGAGGAGUGUGGAAUUCCUGGUGUAGCGGUGAAAUGCGCAGAUAUCAGGAGGAACACCAAUGGCGAAGGCAGCACUCUGGGACGUGACUGACGCUGAGACACGAAAGCCAGGGGAGCAAACGGG